rnacentral:rRNA from 1 species
AGAGUUUGAUUAUGGCUCAGGACGAACGCUGGCGGCGUGCUUAACACAUGCAAGUCGAACGAAGCUGCGCGACGGAAGCCUUCGGGUGGAAGAUGCGUAGACUUAGUGGCGGACGGGUGAGUAACGCGUGAGCAACCUGCCCAUAAGAGGGGGACAACAGUUGGAAACGACUGCUAAUACCGCAUAAGACUACGCUACCGCAUGGUAGAGGGGUAAAAGAUUUAUCGCUUAUGGAUGGGCUCGCGUCCCAUUAGGUAGUUGGUGAGGUAACGGCUCACCAAGCCGACGAUGGGUAGCCGACCUGAGAGGGUGAUCGGCCACACUGGAACUGAGACACGGUCCAG